rnacentral:rRNA from 1 species
GACGAACGCUGGCGGCGUGCCUAAUACAUGCAAGUAGAACGCUGAAGGAGGAGCUUACUUCUCUGGAUGAGUUGCGAACGGGUGAGUAACGCGUAGGUAACCUGCCUGGUAGCGGGGGAUAACUAUUGGAAACGAUAGCUAAUACCGCAUAAGAGUAGAUGUUGCAUGACAUUUACUUAAAAGGUGCAAUUGCACCACUACCCGAUGGACCUGCGUUGUAUUAGCUAGUUGGUGGGGUAACGGCUUACCAAGGCGACGAUACAUAGCAGACCGGCGUGGGGGAUGGGCCACACUGGGACUGAGACACGGGCCAGACGCCGACAUGCGGCAGCAGGAGGGAAGCGUCGGCAAUGGACGGAAGUGUUACCGGGCAACGCGGCGUGGGUGAAGAAGGUUGUCGGGUCGUAGAGGACUGUUGUAAGAGAAGAACGAGUGUGAGAGUGGAAAGUUCACACUGUGACGGUAUCUUACCAGAAAGGGCCGGCGAACUACGUGCCAGCCGCCGCGGUAA